CGGGACGGGUGAGUAAUGUCUGGGAAACUGCCUGAUGGAGGGGGAUAACUACUGGAAACGGUAGCUAAUACCACAUAACGUCGCAAGACCAAAGAGGGGACCUUCGGGCCUCUUGCCAUCGGAUGUGCCCAGAUGGGAUUAGCUAGUAGGUGGGGUAACGGCUCACCUAGGCGACGAUCCCUAGCUGGUCUGAGAGGAUGACCAGCCACACUGGAACUGAGACACGGUCCAG
rnacentral:rRNA from 1 species